rnacentral:rRNA from 1 species
GAUGAACGCUAGCUACAGGCUUAACACAUGCAAGUCGAGGGGCAGCGAGGGCGUAGCAAUACGCCUGUCGGCGACCGGCGCACUGGUGAGUAACACGUAUGCGACCUGCCCCCUACAGGGGUAUAACCCGUAGAAAUGCGGACUAAUCCCCCAUAGUCCUGGGUGCUGCAUGGCAUUCAGGGGAAAGGGUUUCCGGUAGGGGAUGGGCAUGCGGCGCAUUAGCUAGUUGGCGGGGCAACGGCCCACCAAGGCGACGAUGCGUAGGGGUUCUGAGAGGAAGGUCCCCCCACACUGGUACUGAGACACGGACCAGACUCCUACGGGAGGCAGCAGUGAGGAAUAUUGGUCAAUGGGCGCAGGCCUGAACCAGCCAAGUCGCGUGAGGGAAGACGGUCCUACGGGAUUGUAAACCUCUUUUGUCGGGGAGUAACGUGCGGGACGCGUCCCGUAUUGAGAGUACCCGAAGAAAAGCAUCGGCUAACUCCGUG